rnacentral:rRNA from 1 species
CACGUAGGGGGCAAGCGUUGUCCGGAUUUAUUGGGCGUAAAGAGCUCGUAGGCUGUUCGGUAAGUCGGGUGUGAAACCCCCAGGCUCAACCUGGGGACGCCACCUGAUACUGCUGUGACUCGAGUCCGGUAGGGGAGCGUGGAAUUCCUGGUGUAGCGGUGAAAUGCGCAGAUAUCAGGAGGAACACCAGCGGCGAAGGCGGCGCUCUGGGCCACUACUGACGCUGAGAAGCGAAAGCGUGGGGAGCGAACAGG